AAUUGGGUAGUUUAGUGGUAGAACACCGGCAUGGUAUGCUGGAGACCCGGGUUCGAAUUUUGUCAUGCCCACUCA